rnacentral:rRNA from 1 species
UCCUACGGGAGGCAGCAGUGGGGAAUAUUGGACAAUGGGCGGAAGCCUGAUCCAGCAACGCCGCGUGAGGGAUGACGGCCUUCGGGUUGUAAACCUCUUUCAGUGCAGACGAAGCGACUCUUUGGGGGAGUGACGGUAUGCACAGAAGAAGGACCGGCCAACUACGUGCCAGCAGCCGCGGUAAUACGUAGGGUGCAAGCGUUAUCCGGAAUUAUUGGGCGUAAAGAGCUCGUAGGCGGUUUGUCGCGUCUGCUGUGAAAACUGGAGGCUCAACCUCCAGCCUGCAGUGGGUACGGGCAAACUAGAGUGCGGUAGGGGAGAUUGGAAUUCCUGGUGUAGCGGUGGAAUGCGCAGAUAUCAGGAGGAACACCGAUGGCGAAGGCAGAUCUCUGGGCCGUAACUGACGCUGAGGAGCGAAAGCAUGGGGAGCGAACAGGAUUAGAUACCCUGGUAGUCCAUGCCGUGAACGUUGGGAACUAGAUGUAGGGGCCAUUCCACGGUUUCUGUGUCGCAGCUAACGCAUUAAGUUCCCCGCCUGGGGAGUACGGCCGCAAGGCUAAAACUCAAAUGAAUUGACGGA